ensembl:lncRNA
AUGGCAGCCGAAGCUCUCGGCAAAACACUGGAUCAGCUUAAGAAAUACAGGAUGGUUGCAAAGACCUCCUUAACCAAGCAAGCUAACUAUCUCAGUCGGAAAGCAGGCUAUUUAACUGAGUUAGAACUCAGACAAGAAUUUGCAAAGCUCUCUGCCGAUUCAAGGAAAGUUAUUGAGGCCAACGAUGACUACAGGACUGGGUUAGAAGCAGAGCUAGCAGCCAAAGAAGAUGGUAAAGAUGAUGUGCUAAGUCUGGAGCAAGAUGCAGACCUAAGUAAAUACGGCAGUGAAUGUGAGCAAAAGUUCAAUGACGUAAAGCAGAUUGUUCAAACCAACCUGUGGAGCAGAUAUGGAUCAGAGAUGCUAGAGGCUGCUUUUGAAGAAGCAGAAAAAGCCUGUAGGCAUACAUAUGGACUACCUGUGGAAAGCAGUAACUGUGAAGGAUUUGAAAUCCAACAUAAUGUAGUGGGAAAGUUGAUUAAAGAAACAUCUGACGCAUUCGCAGCCUGGGAGUCAUGGAUUCCUGCAGCAGAGGAAAGAGACUUUCGAAAGCGAAGCAGGGAGCUGAGAGUAGCUUACAAUGAGCUAGACAUGAGAAAAGGUGAAUUUGCCAGAGCCCGGAGAAUAUCUGUGGAGAAGCAAGGCACUGGCGUGAAACAAGAACACACUGGACCGACAAUACCAGUAGUGAGAAUUAAACCAACCAAACUGCCCACGUUUAGCGGCUGCAAAAGAGACUUCCACCGCUGGAGGACAGACUGGGAAAGCCUUCAGAAGCAGGGAGAGCCAACCGGUUCGCCAGAGGUAAAAAAGAUUCAGCUUCUUGAUAGUGUGGAAGAAAAGAUUGUGAAAGAUCUCCGCUUGUCGACUUACAGCACAGCUGAUGAUGUCUUCAGAGUGCUGGCAAAUAGGUAUGGUAACAAAUGUGCCAUUGCUCUAGAAAUUGUUGAUGAGCUCGAGAAGAUUCAGCCAGUCAGAGGAAAUCAGCCGAGAAAAGUAGUAGACCUUAUUCAGACCAUUGGAAAAGCUCUCGCUGACCUCACAGACCUAGGAAGUACCGGCGCCAUCAAAAACCCACUGGUGGUGAGGUCUUUAGAGAGCAAGCUUCCUGAGGGUUUGAAGAAGGACUGGCUGAUGUUCAUGGUGGAUCCCAGCAAUGAUGUCACUGAAGAUAAGCACUUUGACAUGCUAUUAGCUUUUCUGAAGAAGCAAGAGGAGAUCUUCGAGAGGCUAGAGCACCUACAAAUCACAGACAAGCCAGAGAGUUCAGACAAAGCAGAAAGGACAUUUAACAAAAAAUAUGCCUCAACUCAAGCCACAAAGGGUGAAGAUGCUGAGGAUGGAUGCAUUAUCUGUGGGGAUGAGAAACAUAAGGACAGGAUUUUCUUCUGCAAAAAGUUCAGGGCUCUGAAGUUAUCAGAAAAGGAAGCUGCUGUGGAAAGGAUUGGUGCAUGCAGGGAGUGCUUAGGGUGUCAUGAGUAUGAUGACGGCUGUAGAGACACUUACCUGUGCAGGAAUGUAGACUGCAAAAAGAGAGGCUCCUCAGAUCACCACUUCUUUCUCUGUCCAAGAGGGAACAGCAAGAGGCGUGAACUUGAGAAACCUCAAACAGAUGACAGAGACAAAAAGAACUUAACUGAGGAACAGAAGAGAUUCUUGGGUGAACUUACCCCCGAGUUAGCUGAGAGGUGCAGGAAGGCCUUCACCAAUAAUUCGUCGAACGUCAGCUGUCCAGCUAAGAACCAGGUGAGCCUCCUCAAAGAAAGUGGAUUGAGAGAACUUCCCGUCAUUAUGAUGUUAAUGGAAGUGACCGCUAAUGCAGGUCAAAAAAUCGGAGCCCUGGUGGAUCUGGCUUCAGACACCAACUACAUUACUCAUAAAGCAGCCAAAAGAUUGAAUCUUAGGAGUGAGAAGAUCACACUAAUUGUGCAUGGAGUGGGUGGAAUGGCUACCAAAGUAGCCACAAGAAGAUACCUCCUCAGAGUUCGAAUCAAAACCUCCAAGGGAACUGAGAGGGCCCAUGAACUAAUCUGUUAUGGGCUGAAGGAGAUCGCCAAAGUUCACCGAGCUGUCAAGCCUGAAGAGCUGACGAGAUUCUUCCCAGAAGUUGAACCUGAGGAGCUGAGGAGACCUGAGCAGAUUGAGUUGCUCAUAAGUCACAGAGAAGGGAGACUUGCCCCACAAAGGGUGAAAGUUGUUGGAGAUCUCGUCUUGUGGGAGAGCCCUCUUGGAAAGACAGUGGGCGGAGCGCACCCUGAUCUGUUUGAGCAAGUAAACAUGACGGCACAUGAGUCAAAGACACACUUUGCUCGUUCUAUGAGAACAGCUGCCAUCAAAUAUGAGGAGAUCCCUGCUGAGGUCCCCUUCAUGACCAAGACAGUUCACAUGCAAGACACCAUCGGUGAAGCUAGGCAUACAGCUGCAACUCACCGUGACGUCCUUGAGUGCAAGGAGGCGCGAAGGGUACUGGAGGAAGACAGCUACACAGAUGAUGUCCUAACAUCCCACAAUAAUGCAAACAGACUGAGCGAAGUGACCAAGGAGAUUGAGGAAAUUCUGCAAGCAGGUGGAUUUUCUCUGAAGCCAUGGGUCCAGUCUACGCAAAGUGGGAGGCAGGAAAGGGGAGUAGCAGACACCACAACGAGGACGCCCUCUGAGACGGACAAAACAUUUGUCCUGCCAAGUCAGUCAGCUGAGGAAGUGGUAACUGACGCCAGGGACAGCAUCAGUAAGCUGCAGAGGAAGGCCUUUUCAGCAGUAAUGACAAGAGGUCAAGUGAAGAGAUGCCGAGGGGUCACCACCCAGGACCACACCAAAGCUGAAGACUCUGUUGAAAAAAAUGAUACUGACCCAACCCACCUGAUUGUCUGCCCUGAUGCAUCGGAAACUGAUCCAGAAAUGAGACAGGGUGAAGUUGUGCUGAGAGUAGCACUUUCAAACUCAGCCUUCAAAAAUCUUUUGGAGGUCAAUAGAUUUAGCUGCUUGUCCAGGCUGGUGAAUGUCGUUGCUUGGGUAAGACGGGCUGCUGAUAGCUGGCUAGGCCUUAAAAACCAGACUCCAAAGAAAUCAAAGUGGGAGGCAUCACCCUCAAAAGAAGAGGGGUCAUAUGAAGUGAAAGAUGAGGUGAAGAAGAGAGUGAGGCUGAAGGUGUGGGGUAUCGUGUUCAGUUGCAUGGCAUCCAGAGCCAUUCAUACUGACAUUGUCAGUGACAUGUCCGCAGAAGGAUUUCACUCCAAACUCUCUCCUGCUGGGGCGAGCUUGAGAGGAGACCCAGGAGACUUCCAGUUUGAGGGUUACCCCUACAAAAGGCUGAGAGUGAUCCAGUCGGAGGUGAAUAAGUUCUGGAAGAAGUGGUGUCAAUUGGCAGGCCCGAAUCUCUUUGUAAGGAGCAAGUGGCACGCUCCAGAGAAGAGUGACGUGACCUCCUUGGGUUCUGGCACCAGGAGCUCAAGUGGGAGGUGUGCUGUCAGAUUGUAA